UCCUCCGCUUAUUGAUAUGCUUAAGUUCAGCGGGUACUCCUACCUGAUCCGAGGUCAACCUUGGAAGAAUUGACCUUCAGAGGCUAUGGCCCCGGCCGGACCCCUCCUUGAGCGCGUGACAGAGCCCCAUACGCUCGAGGACCGGACGCGACGCCGCCGCUGCCUUUCAGGCCCGUCCCCUCCAAACGAGGGGACGGCGGCCCAACACACAAGCCGUGCUUGAGGGUUCGCAAUGACGCUCGGACAGGCAUGCCCCCCGGAAUACCAGAGGGCGCAAUGUGCGUUCAAAGAUUCGAUGAUUCACGGAAUUCUGCAAUUCACAUUACUUAUCGCAUUUCGCUGCGUUCUUCAUCGAUGCCGGAACCAAGAGAUCCAUUGUUGAAAGUUUUGAACGAUUGCAUUUCGUCACUCAGACAAUCCUCGCAUUCACAAAAGCGUUCACAGUGAGUGCCUCUGGCGGGCACGGGCCCCGGGGGCACACCGCGCCCCGGGACGACCCCCCCGGCGGAACACCGGAGGAGUGGGCCCGCCAAAGCAACACUAGGUGUGGUAGACACGGGUGGGAGAUUGGGACCCGACUGGGUUCCCGCACUCGGUAAUGAUCCUUCCGCAAGGUUCACCUACGGA
rnacentral:misc_RNA from 5 species